rnacentral:rRNA from 1 species
GACGAACGCUGGCGGCGUGCUUAACACAUGCAAGUCGAACGGAAAGGCCCUGCUUUUGUGGGGUGCUCGAGUGGCGAACGGGUGAGUAACACGUGAGUAACCUGCCCUUGACUUUGGGAUAACUUCAGGAAACUGGGGCUAAUACCGGAUAGGAGCUCCUGCUGCAUGGUGGGGGUUGGAAAGUUUCGGCGGUUGGGGAUGGACUCGCGGCUUAUCAGCUUGUUGGUGGGGUAGUGGCUUACCAAGGCUUUGACGGGUAGCCGGCCUGAGAGGGUGACCGGCCACAUGGGGAAUGAGAUACGGCCCAGACUCCUACGGGAGGCAGCAGUGGGGAAUAUUGCACAAUGGGCGGAAGCCUGAUGCAGCAACGCCGCGUGCGGGAUGACGGCCUUCGGGUUGUAAACCGCUUUCGCCUGUGACGAAGCGUGAGUGACGGUAAUGGGUAAAGAAGCACCGGCUAACUACGUG